GUAGUGGAGAGCACCAACGCCUCAGAGGAAGAGGAUCUGAGUCCUAAUCGAAUCUAGACUCAAGUAUGCUUCUUCUAUGUCUGCAGGGAGUUUUCUCCUGGAUUUUCCAACUUGGUCCCAAAACCCAAAGACAUGCAUGUGAGUGUUCAGGAUGUGAAUGUGUGU